rnacentral:rRNA from 1 species
AUCGAUGAAGAACGCAGCAAAAUGCGAUAAGUAAUGUGAAUUGCAGAAUUCAGUGAAUCAUCGAAUCUUUGAACGCACCUUGCGCUCCUUGGUAUUCCGAGGAGCAUGCCUGUUUGGGUGUCAUUAAUAUAUAUAUCAACCCUCUUUUGUUGAGUGGUUUGGAUGUGAGGGUUUGCUGGAUUCUUUCAGCUCCCUUGAAAUGCAUUAGCAGAACCAACCUGUUCAUUGGUGUGAUAAUUAUCUACACUAUUGAAUGCAAUGGCCAGUUCAGCUUUCCAACAGUCCUUGGACAAUUUAUCAUUAAUGUGACCUCAAAUCAGGUAGGACUACCCGCUGAACUUAAGCAUAUCAAUAAGCGGAGGAAAAGAAACUAACAAGGAUUCCCCUAGUAACUGCGAGUGAAGCGGGAAAAGCUCAAAUUUAAAAUCUGGCAGUCUUUUGGCUGUCCGAGUUGUAGUCUAGAGAAGUGUUAUCCGCGCUGGACCGUGUACAAGUCUCCUGGAAUGGAGCAUCAUAGAGGGUGAGAAUCCCGUCUUUGACAUGGACUGCCAGGGCUUUGUGAUGCGCUCUCAAAGAGUCGAGUUGUUUGGGAAUGCAGCUCAAAAUGGGUGGUAAAUUCCAUCUAAAGCUAAAUAUUGGCGAGAGACCGAUAGCGAACAAGUACCGUGAGGGAAAGAUGAAAAGAACUUUGGAAAGAGAGUUAAACAGUACGUGAAAUUGCUGAAAGGGAAACGCUUGAAGUCAGUCACAUCAUCCAGGGAUCAACCUUGCUUUUGCUUGGUGCACUUUCUGGUUUGAUGGGUCAGCAUCAAUUUUGAUCAUUGGAAAAAGGUAAAGGGAAUGUGGCAUCUUUGGAUGUGUUUAUAGCCCUUGGCCACAUACAAUGGUUGGGAUUGAGGAACUCAGCACGCCGCAAGGCCGGGUUUCAAACCACGUAACGUGCUUAGGAUGCUGGCAAUAUGGCUUUAAUCGACCCGUCUUGAAACACGG